GACGAACGCUGGCGGCGUGCCUAACACAUGCAAGUCGAGCGGGGUUGAGGCGAGAGGUAACUCGAACUUCUACCUAGCGGCGGACGGGUGAGUAACGCGUGGGCAACCUGCCUCAAGGUUUGGGAUAACAGCCCGAAAGGGCUGCUAAUACCGGAUAUGCCUAUGGCCUCGCAUGGGGCUAUGAGCAAAGGGGAAACCCGCCUUGAGAUGGGCCCGCGUCCCAUCAGCUAGUUGGUGAGGUAACAGCUCACCAAGGCGACGACGGGUAGCCGGCCUGAGAGGGUGACCGGCCACACUGGGACUGAGACACUGCCCGGACACCUACGGGUGGCUGCAGCAACGAAUAUUCCGCAAUGGGCGAAAGCCUGACGGAGCGACGCCGCGUGAAGGAUGAAGUCCCUUCGGGAUGUAAACUUCAAUAGUACGCCAGGAAUCGAUCCUGGCUAAUACCCGGGAAAGUUGACCAGCGUACGAAAGAGGCGGCUAACUCCGUGCCAGCAGCCGCGGU
rnacentral:rRNA from 1 species